rnacentral:rRNA from 2 species
CGGAAGUGCGCGUGCUAUACAUGCAAGUCGAACGAAACUUUCUUACACCGAAUGCUUGCAUUCACCGUAAGAAGUUGAGUGGCGGACGGGUGAGUAACACGUGGGUAACCUGCCUAAAAGAAGGGGAUAACACUUGGAAACAGGUGCUAAUACCGUAUAUCUCUAAGGAUCGCAUGAUCCUUAGAUGAAAGAUGGUUCUGCUAUCGCUUUUAGAUGGACCCGCGGCGUAUUAACUAGUUGGUGGGGUAACGGCCUACCAAGGUGAUGAUACGUAGCCGAACUGAGAGGUUGAUCGGCCACAUUGGGACUGAGACACGGCCCAAACUCCUACGGGAGGCAGCAGUAGGGAAUCUUCCACAAUGGACGCAAGUCUGAUGGAGCAACGCCGCGUGAGUGAAGAAGGUCUUCGGAUCGUAAAACUCUGUUGUUAGAGAAGAACACGAGUGAGAGUAACUGUUCAUUCGAUGACGGUAUCUAACCAGCAAGUCACGGCUAACUACGUGCCAGCAGCCGCGGUAAUACGUAGGUGGCAAGCGUUGUCCGGAUUUAUUGGGCGUAAAGGGAACGCAGGCGGUCUUUUAAGUCUGAUGUGAAAGCCUUCGGCUUAACCGGAGUAGUGCAUUGGAAACUGGAAGACUUGAGUGCAGAAGAGGAGAGUGGAACUCCAUGUGUAGCGGUGAAAUGCGUAGAUAUAUGGAAGAACACCAGUGGCGAAAGCGGCUCUCUGGUCUGUAACUGACGCUGAGGUUCGAAAGCGUGGGUAGCAACAGGAUAUAGAUACCCUGGUAGUCCACGCCGUAAACGAUGAAUGCUAGGUGUUGGAGGGUUUCCGCCCUUCAGUGCCGCAGCUAACGCAAUAAGCAUUCCGCCUGGGGAGUACGACCGCAAGGUUGAAACUCAAAGGAAUUGACGGGGGCCCGCACAAGCGGUGGAGCAUGUGGUUUAAUUUGAAGCAACGCGAAGAACCUUACCAGGUCUUGACAUCCUUUGACCACCUAAGAGAUUAGGCUUUCCCUUCGGGGACAAAGUGACAGGUGGUGCAUGGCUGUCGUCAGCUCGUGUCGUGAGAUGUUGGGUUAAGUCCCGCAACGAGCGCAACCCUUGUUGUCAGUUGCCAGCAUUAAGUUGGGCACUCUGGCGAGACUGCCGGUGACAAACCGGAGGAAGGUGGGGACGACGUCAAGUCAUCAUGCCCCUUAUGACCUGGGCUACACACGUGCUACAAUGGACGGUACAACGAGUCGCGAGACCGCGAGGUUUAGCUAAUCUCUUAAAGCCGUUCUCAGUUCGGAUUGUAGGCUGCAACUCGCCUACAUGAAGUCGGAAUCGCUAGUAAUCGCGAAUCAGCAUGUCGCGGUGAAUACGUUCCCGGGCCUUGUACACACCGCCCGUCACACCAUGAGAGUUUGUAACACCCAAAGCCGGUGGGGUAACCGCAAGGAGCCAGCCGUCUAAGGUGGGACAGAUGAUUGGGGUGAAGUCGUAACAAGGUGCCUAGGUCCC